UACGUAGGGGGCAAGCGUUGUUCGGAUUCAUUGGGCGUAAAGGGUGCGUAGGCGGCGCGGUAAGUCGGGUGUGAAAUUUCGAGGCUUAACUUCGAAACUGCAUUCGAUACUGCGUGGCUAGAGUGCUGGAGAGGAGACUGGAAUUUACGGUGUAGCAGUGAAAUGCGUAGAUAUCGUAAGGAAGACCAGUGGCGAAGGCGAGUCUCUGGACAGCAACUGACGCUGAGGCACGAAGGCCAGGGGAGCAAACGGG
rnacentral:rRNA from 1 species